UGUUCUGUGUCUUAGUUGGUUAAAGCGCCGGUCAAACGAAUAAAGAGUCGUGGGUACGAAUCCCACCAGAACGC
rfam:Aedes albopictus isolate Foshan contig101442, whole genome shotgun sequence.